GUGAAUUUUUUAGAGUUCGGACGCUUUGCAAAAAGUUGACGGCUCGCUCACUUAAUUCUUUUACACACUUGUGCACUUGUCUUAAAAAUUUCUUCGAUUGUCAAAGUCGAUUAGAAAUCUUUUUAACACUUUUGUAUACUUGAUUAUAAAAAAGUCAUUGUGAAAAAUUGAUAAAGAAAGAA
rnacentral:misc_RNA from 1 species